rnacentral:rRNA from 1 species
GACGAACGCUGGCGGCGUGCUUAACACAUGCCAGUCGAACGGAAAGGCCCUGCUUUUGUGGGGUGCUCGAGUGGCGAACGGGUGAGUAACACGUGAGUAACCUGCCCUUGACUUUGGGAUAACUUCAGGAAACUGGGGCUAAUACCGGAUAGGAGCUCCUGCUGCAUGGUGGGGGUUGGAAAGUUUCGGCGGUUGGGGAUGGACUCGCGGCUUAUCAGCUUGUUGGUGGGGUAGUGGCUUACCAAGGCUUUGACGGGUAGCCGGCCUGAGAGGGUGACCGGCCACAUUGGGACUGGGAUACGGCCCAGACUCCUACGGGAGGCAGCAGUGGGGAAUAUUGCACAAUGGGCGGAAGCAUGAUGCAGCAACGCCGCGUGCGGGAUGACGGCCUUCGGGUGGUAAACCGCUUUCGCCUGUGACGAAGCGUGAGUGACGGUAAUGGGUAAAGAAGCACCGGCUAACUACGU